UUAACCAUUGUUGCAAGGUGGGAGCGUUGGCAGGCUAUAGAUGGUGGAUGGAUAGACAAUGCAAAGCCCAAGGCAAGAGAAUGCCCAGAUACAGAGGAAGGGGGCAAAAACUAGAUCUCGGUUAGCGUUUGUUGCACACAGUUGGCAUUUACGGUUGCACCUAUGCGACGUGGAUGUGCAGAAUGGUAGCCUUGGUGAGGUUUUGUUGAGAGUAACAAAGGCUAUAGAUAGAUGGCUCUUAGGGUUUUCAUUUUGGGCAUGCAGGCCAGAGGACCCGUUACUACACAGCAUAUCUCAUUUACAAGAUUUUUGGAUCACAAAGAACAUUGAGCAUUGGUAGCAUCUAAUUACACAACACAUAAAGGCUCACUUAACACAUGGACCCCAGUCGAGCAACGUCAUUUGGAUCAGUGUCUUCCAAGGAACAUCAUUUGCCCAAAAAACAGUACAGUAUUUAGACAAUUUCAACAAAUUGCUUACCUACAUA